AGUGAACGCUGGCGGUAGGCCUAACACAUGCAAGUCGAACGGCGGCACAGUAAGAGCUUGCUCUUACGGGUGGCGAGUGGCGGACGGGUGAGGAAUACAUCGGAAUCUACUUUUUCGUGGGGGAUAACGCAGGGAAACUUACGCUAAUACCGCAUACGACCUACGGGUGAAAGCAGGGGAUCUUCGGACCUUGCGCGAUUGAAUGAGCCGAUGUCGGAUUAGCUAGUUGGCGGGGUAAAGGCCCACCAAGGCGACGAUCCGUAGCUGGUCUGAGAGGAUGAUCAGCCACACUGGAACUGAGACACGGUCCAGACUCCUACGGGAGGCAGCAGUGGGGAAUAUUGGACAAUGGGCGCAAGCCUGAUCCAGCCAUACCGCGUGGGUGAAGAAGGCCUUCGGGUUGUAAAGCCCUUUUGUUGGGAAAGAAAAGCAGCAGGUUAAUACCCCGCUGUUCUGACGGUACCCAAAGAAUAAGCACCGGCUAACUUCGUG
rnacentral:rRNA from 1 species